rnacentral:rRNA from 1 species
UUAAGCGACUAAGCGUACACGGUGGAUGCCCUGGCAGUCAGAGGCGAUGAAGGACGUGCUAAUCUGCGAUAAGCGUCGGUAAGGUGAUAUGAACCGUUAUAACCGGCGAUUUCCGAAUGGGGAAACCCAGUGUGUUUCGUCACACUAUCAUUAACUGAAUCCAUAGGUUAAUGAGGCGAACCGGGGGAACUGAAACAUCUAAGUACCCCGAGGAAAAGAAAUCAACCGAGAUUCCCCCAGUAGCGGCGAGCGAACGGGGAGCAGCCCAGAGCCUGAAUCAGUGUGUGUGUUAGUGGAAGCGUCUGGAAAGGCGCGCGAUACAGGGUGACAGCCCCGUACACAAAAAUGCACAUGCUGUGAGCUCGAUGAGUAGGGCGGGACACGUGGUAUCCUGUCUGAAUAUGGGGGGACCAUCCUCCAAGGCUAAAUACUCCUGACUGACCGAUAGUGAACCAGUACCGUGAGGGAAAGGCGAAAAGAACCCCGGCGAGGGGAGUGAAAAAGAACCUGAAACCGUGUACGUACAAGCAGUGGGAGCACAGAGCAAUCUGUGUGACUGCGUACCUUUUGUAUAAUGGGUCAGCGACUUAUAUUCUGUAGCAAGGUUAACCGAAUAGGGGAGCCGAAGGGAAACCGAGUCUUAACUGGGCGUUAAGUUGCAGGGUAUAGACCCGAAACCCGGUGAUCUAGCCAUGGGCAGGUUGAAGGUUGGGUAACACUAACUGGAGGACCGAACCGACUAAUGUUGAAAAAUUAGCGGAUGACUUGUGGCUGGGGGUGAAAGGCCAAUCAAACCGGGAGAUAGCUGGUUCUCCCCGAAAGCUAUUUAGGUAGCGCCUCGUGAAUUCAUCUCCGGGGGUAGAGCACUGUUUCGGCAAGGGGGUCAUCCCGACUUACCAACCCGAUGCAAACUGCGAAUACCGGAGAAUGUUAUCACGGGAGACACACGGCGGGUGCUAACGUCCGUCGUGAAGAGGGAAACAACCCAGACCGCCAGCUAAGGUCCCAAAGUCAUGGUUAAGUGGGAAACGAUGUGGGAAGGCCCAGACAGCCAGGAUGUUGGCUUAGAAGCAGCCAUCAUUUAAAGAAAGCGUAAUAGCUCACUGGUCGAGUCGGCCUGCGCGGAAGAUGUAACGGGGCUAAACCAUGCACCGAAGCUGCGGCAGCGACGCUGAUGCGUUGUUGGGUAGGGGAGCGUUCUGUAAGCCUGCGAAGGUGUGCUGUGAGGCAUGCUGGAGGUAUCAGAAGUGCGAAUGCUGACAUAAGUAACGAUAAAGCGGGUGAAAAGCCCGCUCGCCGGAAGACCAAGGGUUCCUGUCCAACGUUAAUCGGGGCAGGGUGAGUCGACCCCUAAGGCGAGGCCGAAAGGCGUAGUCGAUGGGAAACAGGUUAAUAUUCCUGUACUUGGUGUUACUGCGAAGGGGGGACGGAGAAGGCUAUGUUGGCCGGGCGACGGUUGUCCCGGUUUAAGCGUGUAGGCUGGUUUUCCAGGCAAAUCCGGAAAAUCAAGGCUGAGGCGUGAUGACGAGGCACUACGGUGCUGAAGCAACAAAUGCCCUGCUUCCAGGAAAAGCCUCUAAGCAUCAGGUAACAUCAAAUCGUACCCCAAACCGACACAGGUGGUCAGGUAGAGAAUACCAAGGCGCUUGAGAGAACUCGGGUGAAGGAACUAGGCAAAAUGGUGCCGUAACUUCGGGAGAAGGCACGCUGAUAUGUAGGUGAAGUCCCUCGCGGAUGGAGCUGAAAUCAGUCGAAGAUACCAGCUGGCUGCAACUGUUUAUUAAAAACACAGCACUGUGCAAACACGAAAGUGGACGUAUACGGUGUGACGCCUGCCCGGUGCCGGAAGGUUAAUUGAUGGGGUCAGCGCAAGCGAAGCUCUUGAUCGAAGCCCCGGUAAACGGCGGCCGUAACUAUAACGGUCCUAAGGUAGCGAAAUUCCUUGUCGGGUAAGUUCCGACCUGCACGAAUGGCGUAAUGAUGGCCAGGCUGUCUCCACCCGAGACUCAGUGAAAUUGAACUCGCUGUGAAGAUGCAGUGUACCCGCGGCAAGACGGAAAGACCCCGUGAACCUUUACUAUAGCUUGACACUGAACAUUGAGCCUUGAUGUGUAGGAUAGGUGGGAGGCUUUGAAGUGUGGACGCCAGUCUGCAUGGAGCCGGCCUUGAAAUACCACCCUUUAAUGUUUGAUGUUCUAACGUUGACCCGUAAUCCGGGUUGCGGACAGUGUCUGGUGGGUAGUUUGACUGGGGCGGUCUCCUCCUAAAGAGUAACGGAGGAGCACGAAGGUUGGCUAAUCCUGGUCGGACAUCAGGAGGUUAGUGCAAUGGCAUAAGCCAGCUUGACUGCGAGCGUGACGGCGCGAGCAGGUGCGAAAGCAGGUCAUAGUGAUCCGGUGGUUCUGAAUGGAAGGGCCAUCGCUCAACGGAUAAAAGGUACUCCGGGGAUAACAGGCUGAUACCGCCCAAGAGUUCAUAUCGACGGCGGUGUUUGGCACCUCGAUGUCGGCUCAUCACAUCCUGGGGCUGAAGUAGGUCCCAAGGGUAUGGCUGUUCGCCAUUUAAAGUGGUACGCGAGCUGGGUUUAGAACGUCGUGAGACAGUUCGGUCCCUAUCUGCCGUGGGCGCUGGAGAACUGAGGGGGGCUGCUCCUAGUACGAGAGGACCGGAGUGGACGCAUCACUGGUGUUCGGGUUGUCAUGCCAAUGGCACUGCCCGGUAGCUAAAUGCGGAAGAGAUAAGUGCUGAAAGCAUCUAAGCACGAAACUUGCCCCGAGAUGAGUUCUCCCUGACUCCUUGAGAGUCCUGAAGGAACGUUGAAGACGACGACGUUGAUAGGCCGGGUGUGUAAGCGCAGCGAUGCGUUGAGCUAACCGGUACUAAUGAACCGUGAGGCUUAACCUU